rnacentral:rRNA from 1 species
UACGUAGGGUGCAAGCGUUAAUCGGAAUUACUGGGCGUAAAGCGUGCGCAGGCGGUUCGGAAAGAAAGAUGUGAAAUCCCAGGGCUUAACCUUGGAACUGCAUUUUUAACUCCCGGGCUAGAGUAUGUCAGAGGGGGGUAGAAUUCCACGUGUAGCAGUGAAAUGCGUAGAGAUGUGGAGGAAUACCGAUGGCGAAGGCAGCCCCCUGGGAUAAUACUGACGCUCAGGCACGAAAGCGUGGGGAGCAAACAGG